rnacentral:rRNA from 1 species
UACGAAGGGGGCUAGCGUUGCUCGGAAUCACUGGGCGUAAAGGGCGCGUAGGCGGCCUGCUAAGUCACACGUGAAAUCCCUCGGCUCAACCGGGGAACUGCGUGUGAUACUGGCGGGCUUGAAUUCGGGAGAGGGAUGUGGAAUUCCAGGUGUAGCGGUGAAAUGCGUAGAUAUCUGGAGGAACACCGGUGGCGAAGGCGGCAUCCUGGACCGAGAUUGACGCUGAGGCGCGAAAGCUAGGGGAGCAAACGGG